GAGAAGAAGAAGAAGAACGAUCACUGGAGAAGAAGCAAGAUCUACCUUGAAUCCUCGACACAGCAGAAAUCCCUCUCUAUUUCGAACAGAGAGCUACUGCAGUCAGCUACCAUCACUUGUUGGUGAUCUUCACCUCAGAUUCAAGGUACCUCAGAUUCAGAUCCAUGGAAGGCUUUCCAAAAUCAUCCAUAGCCAGCCGAUCCAGUCCCAAAGGUACUAUUUGGAUCACUAUUGCCUUGGCAGGAAGGAAGGCAAGGUUAGUGAGGCCAGCCCCAUG